rnacentral:rRNA from 1 species
UACGGAGGAUCCAAGCGUUAUCCGGAUUUAUUGGGUUUAAAGGGUGCGUAGGCGGCCAGUUAAGUCAGGGGUGAAAGACGGUAGCUCAACUAUCGCAGUGCCUUUGAUACUGAGAGGCUUGAGUAUAGUUGAGGUAGGCGGAAUUGACAGUGUAGCGGUGAAAUGCAUAGAUAUUGUCAAGAACACCAAUUGCGAAGGCAGCUUACUAAAGUAUAACUGACGCUGAGGCACGAAAGUGCGGGGAUCAAACAGG